GAUGAACGCUAGCGGCAGGCCUAACACAUGCAAGUCGAGGGGUAGAGUUAGCUUGCUAACUUGAGACCGGCGCACGGGUGCGUAACGCGUAUGCAAUCUGCCUUGUACUGAGGGAUAGCCCAGAGAAAUUUGGAUUAAUACCUCAUAGUAUUAUGAUGUGGCAUCACAUUAUAAUUAAAGUUCCAACGGUACAAGAUGAGCAUGCGUCCCAUUAGUUAGUUGGUAAGGUAACGGCUUACCAAGACAAUGAUGGGUAGGGGUCCUGAGAGGGAGAUCCCCCACACUGGUACUGAGACACGGACCAGACUCCUACGGGAGGCAGCAGUGAGGAAUAUUGGUCAAUGGGCGCAAGCCUGAACCAGCCAUGCCGCGUGCAGGAUGAAGCAUCUAUGGUCUGUAAACUGCUUUUGUACGGGAAGAAACACUCCUACGUGUAGGAGCUUGACGGUACCGUAAGAAUAAGGAUCGGCUAACUCCGUGCCAGCCGCCGCCGUAACAC
rnacentral:rRNA from 1 species